rnacentral:rRNA from 1 species
AUUGAACGCUGGCGGCAUGCCUUACACAUGCAAGUCGAACGGCAGCACGGGAGCAAUCCUGGUGGCGAGUGGCGAACGGGUGAGUAAUACAUCGGAACGUGCCCAGUCGUGGGGGAUAACGCAGCGAAAGCUGUGCUAAUACCGCAUACGAUCUACGGAUGAAAGCGGGGGAUCGCAAGACCUCGCGCGAUUGGAGCGGCCGAUAUCAGAUUAGCUAGUUGGUGGGGUAAAGGCCCACCAAGGCGACGAUCUGUAGCUGGUCUGAGAGGACGACCAGCCACACUGGAACUGAGACACGGUCCAGACUCCUACGGGAGGCAGCAGUGGGGAAUUUUGGACAAUGGGCGCAAGCCUGAUCCAGCAAUGCCGCGUGCAGGAUGAAGGCCUCCGGGUUGUAAACUGCUUUUGUACGGAACGAAACGGCCCUUUCUAAUACAGGGGGCUAAUGACGGUACCGUAAGAAUAAGCGCCGGCUAACUACGUGCCAGCCGCCGCCGUAA